GGAAAGGUUUAAGGGUUUUGGCGUUAGGGUUAAAAUCACUGUCCAAAACCUUUGUAGGAACACUUUUCCAACCUUUUGGAGUUAGUUAGACCAAAAAAAAAAGAAAAAUGAAAAAAAAAAUAUUUGGGGUGUUCAGGCUUCCUAAAAGUAAUACCCGGGUAUUAGGUUAUGGGGCUAUGGUAAGGUUUAACGUUUUGGCGUUAGGUUUAAAAUCACUGUCCAAAACCUUUGUAGGAACUCUUUAACAACCUUUUGGAUUUAGUUAGACCAAAAAAAAAAGAAAAAUGAAAAAAAAAUAUAUGGGGUGUUCAGGCUUCCUAAAAGUAAUACCUGGGUAUUAGGUUAUGGGGCUAUGGUAAGGUUUAAGGUUUUUGGCGUUAGGGUUAAAAUCACUGUCCAAAACCUUUGUAGGAACUCUUUUCCAACCUUUUGGAGUUGGUUACACCAAAAAAAAUGUAAAAUGAAAAAAAAAAAUAUUUGGGGUGUUCGGACUUCCUGAAUGUAAUACCCGGGUAUUAGAUUUUGAGGCUAGGGUAAGGUUUAAGGUUUUUGGUGUUAGGGUUAAAAUCACUGUCCAAAACCUUUGUAGGAACUCUUUUCCAACCUUUUGGAGUUAGUUAGACCAAAAAAUAUGAAAAAAGAAAAAAAUUUUAUUGGGGGUUUUCGGGCUCCCUGAAAGUAAUACCCGUGUAUUAGGUUUUGGGACUAGGGAAAGGUUUAAGGUUUUUGGCGUUAGGGUUAAAAUCACUGUCCAAAACCUUUGUAGGAACUCUUUUCCAACCUUUUGGAGUUAGUUAGACCAAAAAAAAAAAAGAAAAAUGAAAAAAAAAUAUUUGGGGUGUUCAGGCUUCCUAAAAGUAAUACCCGGGUAUUAGGUUAUGGGGCUAUGGUAAGGUUUAACGUUUUGGCGUUAGGUUUAAAAUCACUGUCCAAAACCUUUGUAGGAACUCUUUAACAACCUUUUGGAUUUAGUUAGACCAAAAAAAAAAGAAAAAUGAAAAAAAAAUAUAUGGGGUGUUCAGGCUUCCUAAAAGUAAUACCUGGGUAUUAGGUUAUGGGGCUAUGGUAAGGUUUAAGGUUUUUGGCGUUAGGGUUAAAAUCACUGUCCAAAACCUUUGUAGGAACUCUUUUCCAACCUUUUGGAGUUGGUUACACCAAAAAAAAAAGAAAAAUGAAAAAAAAAUCAUGGGGGUUUUUUGGCUCCCUGAAAGUAAUACCCGUGUAUUAGGUUUUGGGACUAGGGAAAGGUUUAAGGUUUUUGGUGUUAGGGUUAAAAUCACUGUCCAAAACCUUUGUAGGAACUCUUUUCCAACCUUUUGGAGUUAGUUAGACCAAAAAAAAAAGAAAAAUGAAAAAAAAAUAUUUGGGGUGUUCAGGCUUCCUAAAAGUAAUACCCGGGUAUUAGGUUAUGGGGCUAGGGUAAGGUUUAAGGUUUUUGGCGUUAGGGUUAAAAUCACUGUCCAAAACCUUUGUAGGAACUCUUUUCCAACCUUUUGGAGUUAGUUAGACCAAAAAAAGAAUGAAAAAUGAAAAAAAAAAUAUUUGGGGUUUACGGGCUUCCUGAAUGUAAUACCCGGGUAUUAGAUUUUAAGGCUAGGGUAAGGUUUAAGGUUUUUGGCGUUAGGGUUAAAAUCACUGUCCAAAACCUUUGUAGGAACUCUUUUCCAACCUUUUGGAGUUAGUUAGACCAAAAAAAAAAGAAAAAUGAAAAAAAAAUAUUUGGGGUGUUCAGGCUUCCUAAAAGUAAUACCUGGGUAUUAGGUUAUGGGGCUAUGGUAAGGUUUAAGGUUUUUGGCAUUAGGGUUAAAAUCACUGUCCAAAACCUUUGUAGGAACUCUUUAACAACCUUUUGGAGUUGGUUAGACCAAAAAAAAAAGAAAAAUGAAAAAAAAUAUAUUUGGGGUGUUCAGGCUUCCUAAAAGUAAUACCCGGGUAUUAGGUUAUGGGGCUAUGGUAAGGUUUAAGGUUUUUGGCGUUAGGGUUAAAAUCACUGUCCAAAACCUUUGUAGGAACUCUUUUCCAACCUUUUGGAGUUAGUUAGACCAAAAAAAAAUGAAAAAUUAAAAAACAAU